UCCUGGCUCAGAGACGAACGUUAGCGGCAGGCUUAACACAUGCAAGUCGAGCGACAAAGGGGCUUCGGCCCUGAGUAGAGCGGCGGACGGGUGCGUAACACGUGGAUAAUCUGCCUCGUGGCGGGGGAUACAGUCCGAAAGGACUGCUAAUACCGCAUGUCAGGUCGGAAACCCUGGUUUCUGACGAAAAAGAGGGCGCCCGCAAGGGGCUCUCACCACGAGAUGAGUCCGCGGCCCAUCAGCUAGUUGGCGGUGUAAUAGACCACCAAGGCUAAGACGGGUAGCUGGUCUGAGAGGAUGACCAGCCACACUGGGACUGAGACACGGCCCAGACUCCUACGGGAGGCAGCAGUGGGGAAUAUUGGACAAUGGGCAACCCUGAUCCAGCCAUGCCGCGUGUGUGAAGAAGGCCUUCGGGUUGUAAAGCACUUUAAGCGGGGAGGAAGGCCUGAUGGCUAAUAUCCAUCGGGAUUGACGUUACCCGCAGAAUAAGCAC
rnacentral:rRNA from 1 species